CUGGUAGGUGGCUUGUUAAGUCGCUUGUGAAAGCUCCAGGCUCAACCUGGAAAGUGCGGGCGAAACUGGCGAGCUUGAGUACCGGAGAGGGUCGCGGAAUUCCCAGUGUAGAGGUGAAAUUCGUAGAUAUUGGGAGGAACACCAGAGGCGAAGGCGGCGACCUGGAAGGAAACUGACACUGAGCAGCGAAAGCGUGGGGAGCAAACAGGAUUAGAUACCCUGGUAGUCCACGCCGUAACCGAUGGGUGCUAGCUGUGGCGGGAGUUGACCCCUGCCGUGGCGACGCUAACGCAAUAAGCACCCCGCCUGGGAAGUACGGCCGCAAGGCUAAA
rnacentral:rRNA from 1 species